rnacentral:lncRNA from 1 species
UUGAUUGUUUCUGAGAUUGAGUUUACUGUUUAACUAUGGCCAACUGGCACUUAGCACAUCCAUUGUUUCCUUGGAAACUUCAUUGGGUAUGUUAUCUCUUAUUUGGAUACUUACAACUCACUUAUAUUAAGUUCUAUCUAUGUGCCAGACUGGGGAGUGCAUUUUCUAUAAGUGCAGUCAGUAGGUCAUUUACCACCUUCACCCAGGUAUGCAAUGGUGGAGCCAAGAUUAAGCCCAGGUGAGUUUGAUGCUUAAGCCCUCACUCUUUAGUACUAUUCUCCACUGGAUACGUUUGACCAGGGUCAGUCUAUAGUAACUUCCUUGAGAGGAAGGACUUUGUCUCCUGCAGAAAUCCCUCUUUAAAUCCUUCACGUCCUGCCCCUCAGCCUACCAAUAGCGUUUAAAUAUGUCAUGCACUGCCUUCAUUUUGAUUGCCUUCACAACUUCAGUGGACAGCCUCUUCAUGUGUCAGAGCACGUCCAUCCUAUCAGAGUGGCCCAUUCAUGAUUUACAUUUAUCACGGCUUUAAGAUAUUGUUUCAUAAGAGGGCCCACUUUUUCAUAUAAUAGACACUUCUAAAUUAUUUUCUGGAUGAAAGACACUUUGACUUAAUCUAGAAUUCAAAUAAUCUCUGGAAAUAGGAUCAUAAUUUUUUAACCUCUUGUUAUUGAUUAGUUUACCUAUCUGCUUUGCUUCACUGAUUACUAAAAGAAGAGCAUUGAAAAAGUAGCUUAUUUAUUUAUUUACUUAUUUAUUUUGAAAAGGAAAGAAAUGCAGGGGGAAAACCAAGAUAGAUGGAAACUCAGUGAAUACUUGCAUCGACCCAUACCAAUAGAGGGCAGAGAUGUUAUUGGCAACAAAAAGUUAGUGAGCUGUAGAAACCUGAAACUCACAUGCAUUCUAGAAAGGAGGAAAGAAAGGAAAUGGCAUGGAGAGAGAGGAAAAAAAAAAAAAACCUAGGAAAUAGAAUUGCAGCAACCACACAGGGAAGAAAAAUGAUCAUGUCAGAAAUAGAGAGAGCCAGAAUGAACAGUUAAGGAAAGAAUUUGUAAGGGAAGGACUGGGACAUCAUACAAGGAAAGAUAAAUAGCAUCGGGGGUCGGUCCUGCCCAUGCCCUUUCACACUCAGAUGCUGGAUCCUUUAAUUUGGAUUUUAUGUUGGCGCACUGGCAGAGGGCUGGGUGUUAGCCCUCAUUUUAAAUCCUGCUAAUGUCUAUUAGGGUUAGAUUAUAUAAAGCAUCAAAGAUGAUAUAAAACUAUCAUAUUAGACCUUCCUACUUUUCCCUAAAACCCCAGUUUAGGGCUUACGCAACAUUUCUAGACUGUAUGUUUUGUCAGAGAAUGACCUAGAAAGAAAUAUAAAUAUAUAUAAUGUAAAAUGCAAUUUAUUUUUCUUCAUAAAGUUAUGAAAUUUUCUGCAUAUAUAUCUUUUAUCCAAGUAGAGACUAUAGCUAUGUAUUCAUUUUCAGAAAAAUUAUAGGCCAUGCAUAUACAGAUAGCAUGACAUGCAUGCAUGCAUACAGGCACACACACGAGAAGAAAAAUGAGGCUUAAGAAAAGACAGAAUGAGAAAUAGGGGAAUGUGAGGAAGAUGGAGGUGGAACAGAUAUAUGUGACCUCAGAGAAGAGGGACAGCCUCAGGCUUCAUUGUCUUGACUAAAAUACUUCAGUAUCCUGGUUUAUUUCCAUCCUCUGGUUUUACGUACUCUGAACCACAAUCUACACUGCUAUCAGAAUCAUCUUUGCAGAAAUCUGAUUACGUAAUUGUCUUGCUUCAUUACUUUCAAUGCCUCCUAUAUUUUCUUGAAUAAAGUCAAGAUGUCUUAGCUUGACAUUCUUUCCAAAAGCCGACUUACUCCCGUUACUCCCUUAACUAUCAUUACACUCAUUCUACCCUCUAGUGGCAGUGGAACUAUUAAAUGAACUACUUGCCAUUUCUUUCAAGCAUGCUAUUACCUCUGUGUGUACUUGUCUUUUUUCUUUAACAGUUUUGCAUGAACAUAAGAAGCGAAAUGGUUCUAUAUUAUUUAUUGGGACCAAUAAACUUUACUAUCAUUCCCUUAUUUCUACUCCCGAGACAGCCACUUUCAUCUCUAUUGAUUAAUUUUUUUGAUAUUGAUCCUAAUUCCUAAAUAAAAUGCUUGUAUUGCAGCAUCUUUAUUUUAUUUUAUUUUUUUACUUUUAGCCAUUAUUAGAUGAUCUUUCCCUUUCUAUAAGAAUUUAGAAUUUUUUAGUUUUCCUAUUGCUAUUCCCACCACACAUGAAUGUUUUUCCUGUCCUCUAUCCAGUAUUGUUAUAUGACAGUUUUUUCAGGAUACCAUCCAGUAUUUGAAUUAUUAUGAUAAUGGAAACGCUACUCACAGGUGAACCAGUUAACAAACCAUAAUUGCUUUUCCCUCCUGAAACUACUUUUUAUUUUACUGGGAGCUAAUAAUUGUCAUGAUUUUAUGUCCCUCUUUUUCUUUCAUUAAAGUAUAGUUGAUUUACAAUGUUUCUUCAAAUUCUGUUGUACAGCAAAGUGACCCAUGUAUGUACUUUCUUUUUUUUUUUUUUAGUUGCCUCUAUAUUUGAAGCUUUGUUGUCAUGCUGGACUCUCCCUUCACAUGUAUUCAAGGAUUCCCUUUAGCUAUAGCCUGUAUUUGUUUUCCUGUUUCCCAUUAGCUCAUGUCUUCCUUUAUCUUAGUUUAUAUCCUCAUCUUGGUGAAGUACACCCUUCAGUAAUUUCCUGUGAAUGUGUGCAUGAGAGGUAACUUUUUUGAGACCUUGUAUGUUUAAAAUUAUUUUUUAUCCCAUCCUAAUUCAUAACUGAACUCUAGUUGCAAAUAAGUUUAUUUUUUUCAGGAUUUUGAAGGCUGUUAUACAAUUAAACAUGAUUGAGGAAAGAUACACAAUCAAACCAACUGGUCUCACUUAAAAUUUAUGACCAUGAACCUUAAAUGACCAGGGAAUCACAUGGUGUUUCGAAAACCCAUUUAUUUUCCCACACCCCUAAGUGCUUGUUUACAUCGCUCCUUUUACCUCACAUGCCCCAUAUUGCCUCCAUCCUCAGUCUUAGCUAAUGAACUUACUGACAGCUUCACUGAGGAAACCAAAGUAAUCAGCAGAGAUGCCCCACAGAUUCCCCCAACUACAUCCAUCUACUCAUCCAACUACAGUACAGGGCUGUCCUGCCCUGACCAGAGAUGGGCUGAUCAAUCAUCCAUUCUAUGUUUUGAAGCCUUUUCUCCUACACGUACACUAGAUCCAGUAUUCUCUAUCCUAGUAAAGGCUAUUUUUUAAAAGAUCUCCCUCUUUUCUCUCCUACAUGGUCAAAUUUUCUCUCUCAAAUGAAUCAGUCCUGUCUGAAUAGGAAUUUUCUAUUUCUCUUAUUUUAGAAAAAAAAAAGAGAUAAAAACUUUCUCUUGACCCCAAUACUGAUUUGAGCUCUUAUUCCUUCACUUCCCUGUAUAGCCAAAGUUAUAGGAAGGUUUUCUACUCACACUGUUUCCUGUUUCUUCUCACAUUCUAUGAUACUCAUUUCAGUUAGGUUUUUGCAUUGACCCACAUGUUUUCAAUAUAAAUUAUAACCUC